CUGUGAGAUUACAUAUGCAUAUAGUGUUAAAGCUAUAAGAGUGUAGUAUCUACUCACAAAGUUAUCAGGUUAAAUAGUUUUAUCAACUAAUAAAAAUGUUAUUGCAUAACUAAUGUUAUACUGUAGCCCCUGCCACGAUAUCCAGCGAAAAUUAUUUUGCUGAGUAUUGUAGUAAAAGUUAAGAUAUGAUGUUGAGAAUUUUUUUGAGUUGUGCAACAACAUUAACAGCAAACUAUAAUACAAA
rnacentral:misc_RNA from 1 species